AGCGAACGCUGGCGGCAGGCUUAACACAUGCAAGUCGAGCGGGCAUCUUCGGGUGUCAGCGGCGGACGGGUGAGUAACGCGUGGGAACGUGCCUUCUGGUUCGGAAUAACUCAGGGAAACUUGAGCUAAUACCGGAUACGGCCUGUUGGGGAAAGGUUUACUGCCGGAAGAUCGGCCCGCGUCUGAUUAGCUAGUUGGUGGGGUAACGGCCUACCAAGGCGACGAUCAGUAGCUGGUCUGAGAGGAUGAUCAGCCACACUGGGACUGAGACACGGCCCAGACUCCUACGGGAGGCAGCAGUGGGAAUGUUGGACAAUGGGGGCAACCCUGAUCCAGCCAUGCCGCGUGAGUGAUGAAGGCCUUAGGGUUGUAAAGCUCUUUUAUCCGGGACGAUAAUGACGGUACCGGAGGAAUAAGCCCCGGCUAACUUCGUGCCAGCCGCCGCGGUAA
rnacentral:rRNA from 1 species